rnacentral:rRNA from 1 species
UACCAGCUCUUCGAGUGGUGUGGAUGUUUAUUGGGCCUAAAGCAUCCGUAGCUGGCUGGGCAAGUCCCCUGUUAAAUCCACCGAUUUAAUCGUUGGAGUGCGGGGGAUACUGUUCGGCUAGGGGACGGGAGAGGCAGACGGUAUUUUCGGGGUAGGGGUGAAAUCCUAUAAUCCCGAGAAGACCACCAGUGGCGAAGGCUGUCUGCUAGAACGCGCCCGACGGUGAGGGAUGAAAGCUGGGGGAGCGAACCGGAUUAGAUACCCGGGUAGUCCCAGCUGUAAACGAUGCAGGCUAGGUGUUCGGACGGCCACGUGCCGUUCUAGUGCCGCAGGGAAGCCGUUAAGCCUGCCGCCUGGGGAGUACGGCCGCAAGGCUGAAACUUAAAGGAAUUGGCGGGGAGCACCACAAGGGGUGAAGCUUGCGGUUU